rnacentral:tRNA from 2 species
UCCCCGAUAGCUCAAUGGUAGAGCGGCCCGCUGUUAACGGGCAGGUUCAAGGUUCGAGUCCUUGUCGGGGAG